UCCCUGGUGGUCCAGUGGUUAAGGAUCUGCUGCUAAUGCAGAGGACACAGAUUCAAUCCCUGUUCAGGGAA
rnacentral:tRNA from 1 species